GAUUUUGUUUGAUAAAUAUGUUUAGCUACACCCUUUUUGCAUAGAAUUGGUCUUGGUGUCAGCUCAAACGCAGAAACUAGAUUUUGGAAUUCGUAUUUUCGUGGUAUUUGAGGAUGCAAUUAGUAGAUGGUCAAAAAUAGUUCCUGGAAUCCAGUGCAUUUGGAAUCAAUACAUGGGUAGGUAGUGGAUACAUUUUUCAGAAGCAUAUGUUUUCUGUAGCUCCAAUCAACAUUAUGUAAGCUGCAAUCAACACUAUAUAUAGCUUCCUGCUGCUUUCCUAGGUUAUGAUUUGACUGGUUCCUGCUUUUUGGGAAAAAUACACUCUAUGGUCAACUCGUCCUUCAAUGCCAACUGACUACUUUUACAGCUAGGCAAUACUACCUUCACUAUAUUCAUGGUGAUAAAUUGGUUUUGCACAAGACAAAUAGGGACUUGGAACUUCACUUUUGGUAUCCUGUCAUUAUCAAUUUGCCAUUGCUCAAAGUAUAAAUUCAUUUCGUGUAUUUAACUUCAUAACUAUAAUUAUAUUAAUUUUUUAUGUGCACCAGAUCUGAUGAUUCAGAUGUUGUUGUUAGUAUUGCUUGUGGUAGACUUUCAG